GGAAAUAAGGUGCACUCACAGGUCUUCAAAUGUGCUUCUUUUUAUUUUGCAUGAAAAUUUACAUGUGCAAAAAAAUCUACAAAAUCUACAAAUGAUUUGUUUGUAGAUUUUUUUGCACAUGUAAAUUUGCAUGUAAAAUAAAAAGAAGCACAUUUGAAGACCUGUGAGUGCACCUUAUUUCC